CGUCGCCGUCAUUCUAUGCCGGGGACUUCUUAGCUUACGCCUUACGCACUCACGUUACCGCCGAUCGGAGUGAUUUCGUCCUGCUCACUCGCUCUCUUUUUCUCUUUCUGUGCCGCAGCUAUCCUUUCGCGACUCGACGAUGAUACGCACGAGAGCCGCCGGACAGAUUGCUCGUAUCAAUAACGUGUAAAGUGGAUGGCAUAUACGAAAAUAUUGACCAGAUCGAUUACACGCUGAAAAAUCAACGUUUCGCAGCUGGAAGAAGACUCGUCAUGAGGUCGUCAGACUGUCACGGGAUCCAACUCGAAAGGGACAUACUUGUUUCAUAAAUUGUGUGUACAAGACGGCCGCAUGCGUGCGUAUGUACGAAGAGUUGCAUAAGAAGCCUUAAAUCUGCCGGAGAGGCUGACCAGCGUCCGUCUUCCACGCUCGACCUUGCUCGUCGCUACCGGACGCACUCGUCGUUGUCGGUCAUCGCGCGAUGUACCUCGAGACAUUGAUCGUUCGAUGACGGAACCGCCAUUUUCCACGUGGUAUCGGAAUGUUUAGACAAUAUUCUUACCGACCUACCGUGCCGCGUUCGAGGCCUACCAUUAACGCGUUCGCUACCACAGUUUACUUGGGGAACUCUCUCCGCGGACCACAUUUGUUUUUAUACGCAGAAAAAACGUCUAAUUGAAUUAGUCUGUCAACUGCUUAGUCUACAUCGAGAGGAUUAAACGCGGACUGACCUAUACCGUGACUAAUCGCGGUCGAUUAUUCUUGUAAAAAUCAAUUGCGAUUGGUUACAGUAUAGGUCAGUCCGCGUUUAGUCCUCUCGAUGUAAACUAAGCAAAUAAACGAACAAAAUGAGUUUCGGUUGAAGGAAAGAGAAUUUCUGCUUCUUAGGUUUGUAUUAAUAUAUUUUUGAAACUUGUUUCAUAUGUGAUACUUAAAUUUUUAUUCAGAGCUAAAUUAAAAUUUUUUAGUUAAGUUAUAAUAUGCGUGUCAUUUAUAUAUUUUACCAUGCUUUUACUGAGAAACUCUAACUCUGAAAUUUGAAUAUCUGAUUUGAGAAGUCUUUCAAAUAAUAACUGUUAAUACGAGCCUUAGAACCGAAUUUGGUUCAUAAAAACUGCACGCAGACAUUCCAUUUCCUUCAACUGAAAUAUGUUUUGUUCACUCAUUGUUAGGUUAAUUCAACCAAACUUUUUCUAAUUGUGUAAAAUAGAUCUAGUUUAUUUACAUAUAUAUACAGAGAAAAAAUUAUCGUUGUCACCGAUAUGCGACGUUGAUAAUGAUCGUAAAUAUAUAUGAACGUGUUAAGGUGAUGUCAAAAUGGGCGACGAACUCUAAAAAUUUCGAUAACGCAGAGGCAAUCGUCAAAACAUCAUGUCAAAUAAGUAUCGAUUACGUUACCUUUUUUCGUAUUUUUUGUGGAUAUAGAUCUUAUACAGGAUGUCUGACAAUUAAUAAUAUAUCUGUUGUGUGCAGAUAAAACUCAAGAAGCUAAAUGCAAAAUUCCUCUAUCGUUUCACAAAUAAUCACCUAAAAUUUUAAGUUAUUAAUCAAAAAAGAUUGGUGAAUGAUUACGCGCGAUACGGAUCGGCAAACUGAAAAAAAAAUUCUGUACAAUUACAAAUUAUAUAGAUUUUUAGUUAUUAAUUAAAGAAGGUUAGAGCAUGAUUUUGUGCGAUAAUGCAUCAAUGUUUUUUGAUAAUUAAAAAUUUCCGCGGCCAUUUACAAAACGAUAUACGGAGAGAAUAUUGUAGUAAAAAUUACAAUACAAUACGUGGUAAUUUUUACUAUAUUUAUAGUCAUUUUUACUAUGUUCAUCGUUACUUUUACUAUGUCUUAUUGUAAUUUUUGUAAUAGUGCUCAUCUACUCCCGAAUUACUAGAAUUUUUACUACAAUAUUCUCUCCGUGUACAGGACUUUUUUGUUCAGUUUGACCUGAUGUAUAAACAUCUAAUGUCGUCAUUGCAACUUUAUAUUGCGCGUGAAUCUUCAUCAAUCUUCUUUGAUUAAUAACUUAAAAUUUUGAAAUGGUGGUUGUUUGAAAUGGUAGAAGAAUUUUGCGUUUAGUUGUCGAAUUCUACCUGCACACAACAGGUUAUUAAUUGUUAGAUAUCCUGUAUAAAUGUGUACUGCUUUGUUUUGCCGUAUUUAGCGGAAAAUAUAAAGAUGUAUAGGAAACUUUUUGCAAACUAUUCACAUUUUUUAAGCUCAUAAAUUUAGUUAUAAAGGUACAACAAUAUUUUUUGAAAUUUCCCUGAGCAAAAAACUCAGAAUGCACUCAAACUACGGAAAUUUUGAAUCAGGCAAAUAUUUACGCUAACUGAUAGCUCGAGAUGUUAAUUUUGAAAUUUUUUAUCGUUUACGUCAUAUGUUGAGCAAUAUUCCCAUUUAUUUUUGCAAGUACUUUCAUUGUGAAGAAGCAUUUAUAAUUCUGUGUAAUCAGUACGAUGUAAACUUUGCAGAAAAAAGUUAGUAUUGUCGGUGAAGUCUCCAAUUAUAGUAUGUUUUUAAGUAAAAUUGAAAAUUAUAAGUUUGAAAUGAGAGAUCGAUGCGUCAUAUGUAUGAUGCUGAUUACGAAAGUGUUAACAUGUUGAAUGUCGUGAUUGAUGACGGGCAUUAGAGCAGUCAGCGUCUCAUUAAAUUACAUAUAAAGUAUAAUUAUUAGCAUAUGAAAAAUCGAUUAUACUAGCAAUAGAGAGCCAAUGAAACGAGGUAGUUAAAAAUAUAUGCGUCUGGAAUUAUGUUUAUUUACUACAUCUUUUGCAUUUUUUUAUCAGUUAAGCUUUUGUGCAAGCUGCAAAAAUCAACGCAAUAGUCAACGGGUCAAAUAUAGCUCGCUAUCAUUGUUUUCGAAGGAAUUGGCGAUGGCAAACGCAUGGCCGAGGACAUUUUACGCCGAAACGUUGUAUUUUAAAAAAUAACGCUAAAACGCUCGCGUUUUAUUAUUACUGAAAUAAACAAUCGCGUGUUUAUAAACGGAAUACACAAGUACACCGCAUUUGAGAAGUAGCAAUUCUUUUUUAAGAAUAAUGAGCAUUUUUGUUGAAUAUAUUCUCGUUUAUUAUAUAUUAUUGGCUAAAUCGUUCAGGAAUGUUGUAGAUUUGCUAGGUUUAUGAUAUAAAAUGUUUCUUAAAUUUUAGGCCUACGUACGCGGCGAUGCGGCCAAACAAAACACUUCAUCUUGGUAACACGUUUUGGUAACUAUUAAAAAUUUUGCAAAGAACAUAUUAAAUCAAUCUUUUCUUGAGGUUUUAUAUAGUCUGAUGUACUAAUUUACAUUUUGUAUAAACGUCAAAUGUCGAAUAUUUAGGAAAAAGAGAUAUGUGAAGAGCGAUUGCUUGAGAUUUGACAAGUUUUGGGGCGAGAUUUAAAGUUUAUAGAAGUUUUUCAAAUUAGAAACAAAUUUACAAAAUUUACUAAAAUAACAAUUUUUACUAAAUAGAUCCGAUGUUCUCAUCGGUUGCCGCCGCUUAUAAUACGGAAACAACGAAUAUAUCGACUGUAAUUUCUAUUAAAUAUUAUUGAAUGCAUAAAAAUUAAUCAAAAUCCUUAUCAAUGAAAUAUUUAUUGUUAUUGAAUCGAAUUUUGUCACGCUUCCAUAGAUAGAUUCGGCUUUAUUUGUGUUACGCUUACGUAUAAAAAUACGUAUACAUAAUACCACGUAUACCACGUAUAUUAUACAACGAUAUAAAUAAUGGAGUGAACAACAUUGAAAUUAUUUGAAUAUAUCUUUGGCAAAUAGAUAUGCAAAAAUUUGUUGACAUACUAGGCGCGCAGACGGUGUUUCAAAUCAUUUUUAAGGAUGUUGCGUCAUAAAGGGAAACGGUUUAUUUAAGUAGUCGAAACACGUAAUUACAUUUUAUUCGUUAAUUAUGUGUUUUUAAAAUGAUACUGAAUCUCUCAACAGUAGUGCAGCAUGCGACGUUAAUUAAACUAACAUGCAACUUACAAAUAACAACUAGUAGAAACGUUAACAUACGAAAACAAAAAUGCUCGAUACGAGGAAUGUCCGUUUUCUUGUGUUUCCUAAGAUUUAUGCCGAAAAUACAACAAUUUUCUGAAAUAACCGGAUAUUAUUAUCAACCACAAGUCGCGUAAAGAUAUUAACGAGAAAACUGCGGCAAACUAUAACUGCGCAAUUAUUUCAUUUCUUAAUUAUCACACUUCUAAUUUACGAUCGAAAGUAAAGAGAGAGAGAGAGAGAGAGAGAGAGAGAAAGAGAGACAAAUGAUUUAUUCGAGGAUCAUGUACUAUUAGAUGCGAAUCUUGGAGGUCGCGCGCGCGCGAGACGACACGUGUAAAAACGUUACAAAUACGACGAACUAAUCGUGCAAUCAACUUCUUCGGCCAUCGAAUGUAUCAUUGAAAUCGCGGUUAAAACGAGAAGCGAUUUGCUCGAUUGAGCGGUCGAAGAUCGUGCACAACCGAACGCGAGAGUUCUCUCCGAGAAUUUCUAAAUUUCCGUCGGUGCAGCGAUUACUGUUCACGCUCGACUGGGCGAGCGUGGAAACUUGCGCGGAUACGAGAUCGCGAGCGGUGCGAAAGUCUGAAAGGAUACAUACCCGAAAACGAUGUGGUUUCGCUGAUUUUGUUUACGGGCGCGAAGCGACUGAGGCUAGCCGCGUCGUCGUGAAUCGCGAGCGACGGCACGCGACGCCGUCCGACGGCCACCUGCAACGUCGUUCACCAGUGGCGACGAUUUCGGCGAUCACGCGGCGUCGUCGAUCGCGCGCCUAAUUGCAGGUGAAAUCGCGCUAAUCGCGGGGAAGUGGAUCACGCGUGGCGAUUUCGCGGGAUCCACGCGGGUUUUCUAGAUAAUUGACAUAGCAGAUGCUCGCGAGGCGACUGCCCGUAUACGAGCGUGCGGCAGAUCAAUUUGCCAGUAUCUCGGAGUUUGCCCUGCCAUCUGGUACGCGGAUGCAGCACUAGCGGCUUUUCUGUUGUUCAAAAUGUUUGCGAUCGAGCCUUUUGUUCGCUUUUGCUCGAAUCUCCCUCGUCCCUCGUAUAAAGUCGAAUAUGAGUAGAACUCCCGGUUUUUCGCAGUGACACAUGAAAUUUCGUGGCGACGUGCGAUUGGUGGGCUUCGCCUUGAAUCGUCUUGAAAUCGUCUUUGGAAAAAUGCUGCCGCUUCUUUUAAAGGAAAAGAGGAUUACGCGUUAUCAAGUUCACAACAUAUUGUAUGAAAAUACGGACAUGAGACAAUUUGGAAAUAAAGUCGUUAAUUCUCGAUGCCGGUAAUGACAAUUACUCUAUUUUUCAAGAACGCGGCCAUUGUUAUUUACAAUAGAUAGUUGGUCAAAGUAGGACUGGGGAAUUUGAGGCUUCUAUUAAAAUAUAAAUGUGUAAACGCACAGAACUAGUUUUUAGGUCAAAGAUGGUCCCCGUAAUAUUCAGCGAUGUGACAAGAGUAAUGAUACAAUAAUUCUUUAUAAAGUAUGAGAUCAAUGAACUAUAUUUGUAGUUUAUUAUAUUAAUUAUUUAUAUAUUAAAAAAAUUAAUAAUUUCUUAUUCUCAC